rnacentral:rRNA from 1 species
GACGAACGCUGGCGGCGUGCUUAACACAUGCAAGUCGAACGGAAAGGCCCUGCUUUUGUUGGGUGCUCGAGUGGCGAACGGGUGAGUAACACGUGAGUAACCUGCCCUUGACUUUGGGAUAACUUCAGGGAACUGGGGCUAAUACCGGAGAGGAGCUCCUGCUGCAUGGUGGGGGUUGGAAAGUGUGGGCGGUGGGGGAUGGACUCGCGGCUUAUCAGCUGGUUGGUGGGGUAGUGGCUUACCAAGGCUUUGACGGGUAGCCGGCCUGAGAGGGUGACCGGCCACCUUGGGACUGAGAUACGGCCCAGACUCCUACGGGAGGCAGCAGUGGGGAAUAUUGCACAAUGGGCGGAAGCCUGAUGCAGCAACGCCGCGUGCGGGAUGACGGCCUUCGGGUUGUAAACCGCUUUCGCAUGUGACGAAGCGUGCGUGACGGUAAUGGGUAAAGAAGCACCGGCUAACUACGUG